CAGGCCUAACACAUGCAAGUCGAGCGGAUGAAGGGAGCUUGCUCCCGGAUUCAGCGGCGGACGGGUGAGUAAUGCCUAGGAAUCUGCCUGGUAGUGGGGGACAACGUUUCGAAAGGAACGCUAAUACCGCAUACGUCCUACGGGAGAAAGCAGGGGACCUUCGGGCCUUGCGCUAUCAGAUGAGCCUAGGUCGGAUUAGCUAGUUGGUGAGGUAAUGGCUCACCAAGGCGACGAUCCGUAACUGGUCUGAGAGGAUGAUCAGUCACACUGGAACUGAGACACGGUCCAGACUCCUACGGGAGGCAGCAGUGGGGAAUAUUGGACAAUGGGCGAAAGCCUGAUCCAGCCAUGCCGCGUGUGUGAAGAAGGUCUUCGGAUUGUAAAGCACUUUAAGUUGGGAGGAAGGGUUGUAGAUUAAUACUCUGCAAUUUUGACGUUACCGACAGAAUAAGCACCGGCUAACUCUGUGCCAGCAGCCGCGGUAAUACAGAGGGUGCAAGCGUUAAUCGGAAUUACUGGGCGUAAAGCGCGCGUUUGGAUGUGAAAUCCCCGGGCUUAACCUGGGAACUGCAUCCAAAACCGGCGAGCUAGAGUAUGGUAGAGGGUGGUGGAAUUUCCUGUGUAGCGGUGAAAUGCGUAGAUAUGUGGAGGAAUACCGAUGGCGAAGGCAGCCCCCCUGGGAUAACACUGACGCUCAUGCACGAAAGCGUGGGGAGCAAACAGGAUUAGAUACCCUGGUAGUCCACGCCCUAAACGAUGUCAACUAGUUGUCGGGUCUUAAUUGACUUGGUAACGCAGCUAACGCGUGAAGUUGACCGCCUGGGGAGUACGGUCGCAAGAUUAAAACUCAAAGGAAUUGACGGGGACCCGCACAAGCGGUGGAUGAUGUGGAUUAAUUCGAUGCAACGCGAAAAACCUUACCUACCCUUGACAUGUACGGAAUCCUGCUGAGAGGUGGGAGUGCUCGAAAGAGAACCGUAACACAGGUGCUGCAUGGCUGUCGUCAGCUCGUGUCGUGAGAUGUUGGGUUAAGUCCCGCAACGAGCGCAACCCUUGUCAUUAGUUGCUACGAAAGGGCACUCUAAUGAGACUGCCGGUGACAAACCGGAGGAAGGUGGGGAUGACGUCAAGUCCUCAUGGCCCUUAUGGGUAGGGCUUCACACGUCAUACAAUGGUACAUACAGAGGGCCGCCAACCCGCGAGGGGGAGCUAAUCCCAGAAAGUGUAUCGUAGUCCGGAUUGUAGUCUGCAACUCGACUACAUGAAGUUGGAAUCGCUAGUAAUCGCGGAUCAGCAUGUCGCGGUGAAUACGUUCCCGGGUCUUGUACACACCGCCCGUAC
rnacentral:rRNA from 1 species